GAUUCCCUCAGUAACGGCGAGUGAAGCGGGAAUGGCUCAAGCUUGAAAUCUCCGUUGCUUGCAACGGCGAAUUGUAGUCUCGAGAAGCGUUUUCAAGGCGGACGCGCCGUGCCCAAGUUGUUUGGAAAGGCACAUCGUAGAGGGUGACAAUCCCGUGCGAGGCGCGGUGCGCUGUCCACGAGGCGCUUUCGAUGAGUCGGGUUGCUUGGGAGUGCAGCCCAAAAUGGGAGGUAAACUCCUUCUAAAGCUAAAUACUGGCACGAG
rnacentral:rRNA from 1 species